rnacentral:rRNA from 1 species
UACGUAGGGGGCAAGCGUUGUUCGGAAUUACUGGGCGUAAAGCGCGCGUAGGCGGACUGGCAAGUCAGAUGUGAAAGCCCCGGGCUCAACUUGGGAACUGCAUUUGAUACUGCCAGACUAGAGUACAGAAGAGGUGACUGGAAUUCCCAGUGUAGCGGUGAAAUGCGUAGAUAUUGGGAGGAACACCAGAUGCGAAGGCGGGUCACUGGGCUGAUACUGACGCUGAGGCGCGAAAGCCAGGGGAGCGAACGGG